rnacentral:rRNA from 1 species
AACGAACGUUGGCGGCGUGGAUUAGGCAUGCAAGUCGAACGAAUCUUGCUCGUGUAGCAAUACAUGAGCAAGAAGAGUGGCGAAAGGGGCAGUAAUGUUUGGAUAACCUACCCUGAGGUCGUGGAUAGCCUUCCUAACGGAUGGGUAAUACACGGCGUUGUACUGAAGAGGCAUCUCUUUGUUACCAAAGAAUUUCGCCUCAGGAGGGGUCCAAAUGCUAUUAGCUAGUUGGUGAGGUAACGGCUCACCAAGGCUUAGAUGGCUAGCGGGUGUGAGAGCACGACCCGCGCCACUGGCACUGAGACACUGGCCAGACUCCUACGGGAGGCUGCAGUCGAGGAUCUUCGGCAAUGGGCGCAAGCCUGACCGAGCGACGCCGCGUGUGCGAUGAAGGCCUUCGGGUUGUAAAGCACUGUCGAGAGGGAGAAAGCCGAAAGGUUGAUCUAUCUCUGGAGGAAGCACGGGCUAAGUUCGUGCCAGCAGCCGCCGUA